rnacentral:rRNA from 1 species
AAUGAACGUUGGCGGCGUGGAUUAGGCAUGCAAGUCGAGCGUGAAGCCCCGCAAGGGGUGGAAAGCGGCGUAAGGGAGAGGAACACGUGGUUUAUCUGCCCUCAGGACCGGGAUAGCUGCGGGAAACUGCAGGUAAUACCGGAUAAUGUCUCCGGACCAAUUGGUGCGAUUCCGCCUGAGGAUGAGACCGCGUCCUAUUAGCUAGUUGGUGGGGUAAUGGCCUACCAAGGCAAUGAUGGGUACCGGGUGUGAGAGCACGACCCGGCUCACUGGGACUGAGACACUGCCCAGACACCUACGGGUGGCAG